CCCCCCCGCCUGGGGCACUGGUGCAGAAGGGCUGGGAAGGGCUGGGAAUGCUGCCUCUGCUGUUUCCACGGCAACGGGCUCUCAUUUAACUUUGAAGCGGCCCUGAGUAACUCAAGCUGAAGUUUCCCUGCCAGUUAAAGACACAGCUUCCUGCUGCUUUAGUCCAUCUUUCUCAGUUGUUAUGAUCUAGAGGCCAGGAUAUUUCGCCUGGGAAAUACAAGGUGGUGCUCUGAGCCUAGCAGGAUGCCGCUGAGAAAUGCUCAGGAGCUGCCCAGCUGUGAGCCUCCGGGACUGGGAGGGCAGAACCAGGCAUUGAAGUGUGGGAUUUUAAAAUCAUAGCCUGGGUUAGCCAAAGCUGCAGUGUCAGCCUGCUCCAGCUCCUCCCUGGGGCUGGGGCACAGCUUUGUACUGCACUGGGCUCUGGGCUCGGGGACUGGGAGCAUCAAUGUGACACUUUUCCCUGUGGCUCAGCCCACUAGUGGUCUUCCAGCAAUAGGGAACUGCCCUCCUACUGCCUGCUCUUAGGAUGAGGAUCAUUUUGUUCCACCCCCCCACCCCCAACAGCACUGGGAAGUCCCUUGCAUGGAAGGAGCUCCUGGGCUAGAUGUACAGGCAGCUCUUCUUCCCAGGCCCUGCACCUCACUGUACUCCGCUGUUUGUGUGCAAGUGCUCGUGUGUGUGUAAAUUAGGCAAAGAGCAAAGGCCAGUGGAGUCGCAUCUGGUACAGUCUACACUGGCUGGCUGGUUAUGGACUGCAGCAGCCUGGGUCUGAAUUUUGAUUGUAGCAAUGCACAGCAUACAUACUUGUGCGAGCACACGUGUGCACACACACACACACACACACACACACACACACACAUGCACAUUAAAUGGAAUUAAUGAAUGAGGGUUCUUACAGGCCAGCUGCUAGGCCAAGCCACCCUGUCCAGUGUAGGGCUGCUACUCAGUGCAAAUACUGUAUCUUCAAGACAGCUCUGCUGGCUGCAGGUGUGGCAUGUCUUGCACAUCUCCAUGGUAUCAUUGGCCAGCCCUGAUGCCUCUUGCAACAGCCAUGCCAGUGCUUUGGUCUUUGGUCUUUCCUCCUCAGCUGUGUCAUUCUCAUUCUGCUUUGUCCUUCUCUGUAGCACUCCACUGAUGAUUUUUUCUGGCCACUCUAUGUCUGGGAUUUGUCUAGGCUGUUUUUUAUGAAGACUUGGGGUAUACAUAGCAGGAUAUUGAUAAAUCUCUGCUUUUCAGAACUGUACAUUUGUGGUAAAAAGAUGGAGUUUUGUUUGAGAGCCAGGGUUCAGUUUCUCUAGCUUGGCUUCAGGAUCACAAGGGCAUGCUCUGGUUUUGUAUGUUUUGGCUUGCAUGGCUCUAAUCCCCCUUCUGCCUUCCUCAGCAGCAGAGCCGUGAGAGUCACAGGAUCCCACAAGCUCUCCCCAUUGUGUCAAGGUGCGAGCUGUGGGUAAAGGGAGCUGAAUUCUGUCGCCUAUUCUGGAGGCAGACAGCCUGGAUGGGACAGUACUAUGGGAAAAGCAAAGGGCUGGCUAGUCAGAGCAUUCUAGCAGUGAGCCUAUUGUAUCAGGCACUGUUUGGCUGCAUCACAGAAAGCCUUGGGCCACUUUAGAGGUGUGGGCUCAUGAUCAGUUGGUAGGCUACUCUCCUGAACUGGUUCUGAGCAAAUGCCCCAGCCAAGUUGGCAUGGGGCUCUGGAGGUGCCCUCUUCCUGAUGAGAUGUAUAACUGAGGCCUGCUCUAUGCUGUGGGUGAUAGUCAGAUGCCAGACAGGAGUUGGGCACUUGCCCUGCUGAUCUGCCUACAUCCCAGCUCCCUCUUUGCAUCAUAAUUUAGCGCAUGCAUUGCUGAAGCACCAGCUGGCCUAUCAGUGAUUGGGGUCUGUAGUUCCAGCCAAAUGGAGCACCCCUCGCUUCCUGCCCCAGCUGUGGCGCACCCUGCCACCCAUCAUCAUGCUGCUGCAUUCCACCCUCCAGCUCCCACCGCACCCUGGCAUGCAGGGCUGUGAGGCCACUGGGGAGUGCUCUGAGUCCCGCGGAUGAAAGGUGCCAAGGUUUGUUGUUACAAGAGUUGGCCUUUUUUGGAGUCCCUCUGUAGCAGGUGCAUUGUGUCACAGGACCAGUGCAGCCAGGGAGUAAUAGCACAUCAUCUGCAUGUGUACGGUCAACUAAAACAGGUACACAUGGCUACCUGCCCCAUGCACAGGCUGGACGUGGAUGUGGCAGGAGGGUGGGGCCAGGCUGCUUGCUUCACCCCUCACCACCUGUUUCCUGGAACAGACCUGCUUAUUCAGCCCGUGUUUGUAUUUCGCACAAACACUGGUUAUUUGACACACUGCUUCCUUCUCAGGUUUUACUUUUGUUUUAAAGAAACAAAAGCUGCCCUGUGGUGCAGCAAUAUCCCUAGCCAGCCUGUGUUGCCAAGGAGAUGGUUGGACAGUUCAGGCUGGAAUUAAGAGCUUGUGUUAGACUCAUGGGGGCCGUCGGAAGAGGAUAAAUUGUGGCCCCCUCCAUUUUCCUAUCCUCACGCUGCAUGACUUGCAUUUCCCCAUUAAGGAUCGGAGUAGGAUCUGCCCAGAGUACAGUGUGGUAGGGCUGUCAGGUGUCAUGGGGAGGAAGGUCUGCUCUCCCCCCAGCAGAAAGUACUUUCUUCCACGCCAGGAUCGGGAACCACUGAUAGUGGGAUAGCUUGAAAUGAAUGAGACCACAGCCCUGUCUGUGUAGCAGAUUCACCAUGCUGGCAGGGGUGCCCUCCUGUUCACUGUGCUGUCCUGAACAGGCUUCCACGUGGGCCAGAAGCAGCAUCUUUGUACCUGUGCAACACUGCAGAUGGACUAGUUAGCAUCAGGGGCAAGCUAAUUGGUACAGGCACUAAGCAGUGCUAACUAGGUCACCUGGAGUGCCCCACAUGGCCACACUGUUUCUGUGGAGCAGUGUGGCCUGCUUGAGGGCACUGCUGAUGGCAGUCAGUUUACCAUGAAGACAUGGCCUGGACCCGCUCCCCUUGAGGAGGCAGUCCCUGUUGUUCUGAGAUGAGGUGGCAGCCCCUAGGGUGAGACAGUGGCAGCAAACUCUAGGGUGGCCUUGACCUGCGUCCCCCAUGCCUUGGAGGGAAGGGUGGAGCCCAAGCUCCAGCAUUACAGCAGGUUGAAGACAGCACAGGGGCGAUGAAGCUGGGUACUGAGCUCUGAAGGAGUGGGGGAGGCCGAGCCUUACAUGAUCUCACCAGGGCGCUUAGUCUCCUUGGUGCCCGGACCAGGCUGUUCUUCCUUUGCCUAUUGAGUGGCCAGGCAGAGACAGCUGUGGCAUGUCAGUGCUUUGAAAUAAACAGUCCAUUCAUUCCACAGCUGACCUGCGGGACCCCGUUUCCCAGAGCACUGCAUCUCUUCAUGCCGGAACACAGGCACAGCUGUUCCUUCCCUACGCGGGUGUCUCUGCCUCUCUCACACCCGCCCUUUAUAGUGUCCCAGACUGCUUGGCCAGGGCACUGCUCAUACUGCUGGAGGACAAGGGCACUGCUGAGGGGAAGCUCACUUUGUUCAAGUCCUGGCUGCCAUUUCCAGAGUGCUGCUAUACAAAAGUUCACAAGGCUGAAGCCCCAAGAAAUGAUGUGCCUUGCCCCCUGGGCUUGUGACAUGACAGAGGCUUGUACAGCACAGAGCAGGCCACAGAGAGCAGCUGCCCUUUGGUGAGUUUUCCAUGGCUGGUUCAAAGCUGGAAUCCACCUUCCCACUCGGCCAGGUGCCAGGCUGGUGUUGCUCAAGACAGGUUGAAUUCAGUGAAGGCAUACUGGAAGCCAACUGGAGUGAACACUAGAACCAGGGUAAGGAUCCCUGGCACCUGGUCAUAAACAAUGAAAUGGCUCCCAUUUUACUGGUAGGCUUGGAAGCUACAUAAAAGUUGGUUGAGAGCUUCAUUGCAAACCUCAGCAUAGAUCGGAUGAGUCUCCUAUUUCCAAAAGGAUGGGGAUCCUGCUGGUCAGACCUAUAAACUAGAUGGGGAGGGUGUGUGAAUGAGCCCAAACAAGCAACCAUGAUGAACAACUUGAGACUAGACUCAGACUUGCUGGGCAGGAUUUCUCCUCUUAGUAUCUUAUUUUCCCUUCACAUUCAGGGCAGGGAGGAAAUGGGUGACCAAGGUCACAAGAAUGUUUCCAAAUGAAGCCUGGCUCUUCCCACUAAAGGAACACCUGUGCAGCUCCAUGGCCAGGGAACAGCAGGCUGUGAAGCCUGAGGCAGAUCCUGAGGUGGUGGGAAUUGGCACAUCCCCACUGACGGCAAUGAAGCUCUGCAGAUUUGUAGCAGCUGAGCAGUUUGUCUGACCUAGCAUGUGAAUGAUAACUCAAAGGCAGGAUGAGGAUGCCAGGCCUGGAAAAGCCCUUGGAGGGUCACUUGCAGAAGAAAUGCUGCAGCGUGGGCAUUGCCUGCAGGACUGGAGACUUGGCAAUGCCUGGGCAUGCGCUGAGCUGGAUUCCACCCUCAGUUUCACAGGUGCAGCACCAGAGCAACCUGAGCGCAGGCAGCGGUCCCACUCUGGCUUUCCAUAGGUGGGACUGAUAGCUGGAGCUGAGGUGAUCAUCAGCCUGUGUCCUGGGCACCUGGGCUCAACAUUUCCUGCUUGCUGAGAAGUGAUCACAUGACCACCUGCUUUAAAAAUA